rnacentral:rRNA from 1 species
CCUGGUUGAUCCUGCCAGUAGUCAUAUGCUUGUCUCAAAGAUUAAGCCAUGCAUGUCUCAGUACAUGCCGAAUUAAGGUGAAACCGCGAAUGGCUCAUUAAAUCAGUUAUGGUUCAUUAGAUCGUGGACACAUUUACUUGGAUAACUGUGGUAAUUCUAGAGCUAAUACAUGCAAACAGAAUUCCUCUCAGAGAUGGGAGGAAUGCUUUUAUUAGAUCAAAACCAAUCGGUGGCGGACGGCUCGUCCGUUCGUCCAUCGUUUGUUUUGGUGACUCUGAAUAACUUUGUGCUGAUCGCAUGGUCAUCUAGCACCGGCGACGCAUCUUUCAAAUGUCUGCCUUAUCAACUGUCGAUGGUAGGUUCUGCGCCUACCAUGGUUGUAACGGGUAACGGGGAAUCAGGGUUCGAUUCCGGAGAGGGAGCCUGAGAAACAGCUACCACAUCCAAGGAAGGCAGCAGGCGCGCAAAUUACCCACUCCCGGCACGGGGAGGUAGUGACGAAAAAUAACGAUACGGGACUCAUCCGAGGCCCCGUAAUCGGAAUGAGUACACUUUAAAUCCUUUAACGAGGACCAAUUGGAGGGCAAGUCUGGUGCCAGCAGCCGCGGUAAUUCCAGCUCCAAUAGCGUAUAUUAAAGUUGUUGCGGUUAAAAAGCUCGUAGUUGAAUCUGUGUGUCACAGUGUCGGUUCACCGCUCGCGGUGUUUAACUGGCAUUAUGUGGUACGUCCUAUCGGUGGGCUUAGCUCCUUGCGGGCGGUCCAACUAAUAUCCCAUCGCGGUGCUCUUCACUGAGUGUCGAGGUGGGCCGAUACGUUUACUUUGAAAAAAUUAGAGUGCUUAAAGCAGGCUACCUUUGCCUGAAUACUGUGUGCAUGGAAUAAUGGAAUAGGACCUCGGUUCUAUUUUGUUGGUUUUCGGAACCCCGAGGUAAUGAUUAAUAGGGACAGAUGGGGGCAUUCGUAUUGCGACGUUAGAGGUGAAAUUCUUGGAUCGUCGCAAGACGGACAGAAGCGAAAGCAUUUGCCAAAAAUGUUUUCAUUAAUCAAGA